rnacentral:rRNA from 1 species
GACCUCAAAUCAGGUAGGACUACCCGCUGAACUUAAGCAUAUCAAUAAGCGGAGGAAAAGAAACUAACAAGGAUUCCCCUAGUAACUGCGAGUGAAGCGGGAAAAGCUCAAAUUUGAAAUCUGGCAGUUCUUUUGACUGUCCGAGUUGUAAUCUAGAGAAGUGUUACCUGUGCUGGACCAUGUACAAGUCUUCUGGAAUGGGGCAUCAUAGAGGGUGAGAAUCCCGUCUUUGACAUGGACUACCAGUGCACUGUGGUGCGCUCUCAAAGAGUCGAGUUGUUUGGGAAUGCAGCUCAAAAUGGGUGGUAAAUGCCAUCUAAAGCUAAAUAUUGGCGAGAGACCGAUAGUGAACAAGUACCGUGAGGGAAAGAUGAAAAGAACUUUGGAAAGAGAGUUAAACAGUACGUGAAAUUGCUGAAAGGGAAACGCUUGAAGUCAG